AGAGAAUUUAAAAUAUUUGUAAGUGUAUGAGUCAAGGUUAUUGUAGUUAACUAAAAUUGAACUAAACACUAAAACUAAAUGUGGAAAAAAGUUGACCCUCCCCAAACACACACAUAAAAAACUACAGGUUUUCUUUUCGUGAAUUUAGAAACCCAAAUAAAAUAAAAUAAAAAUAUAGAGGAAAUAUCCUCGACUUUGGAUGCCUCCAAGAGUUUGUGUCCUUACUGGUAUACUGAUUUUCCUAUAUCUUGCCUCUGACAUGUCCUCCAUGCAAUAAUAACUAAAACAAACUUAAGCUUACACUGAAUAAAAUAACUAAAACGAAACAUUUUCAAACAAUGGAACUUAAACUGAAACUGGGAAAUCCAAUGUGGAAACUAUCGGAAAUUGAAUUAAAUUAAAUUAACAACAAAAUAUCAAAAUAAUAUUAACAAUAAACUAAUUAGAAAAUACAAAACUAUAAUUACUCUGAUACAAGUUACUCUGGUACAAUAAUUGAAAGAAAGAAAGAAAGAAAGAAAGAAAGAAAGAAAGAAAGAAAGAAAGAAAGAAAGAAAGAAAGAAAGAAAGAAAGAAAGAAAAGGUUCAAAUAUUUCAAGUUAUUUUAUUAACCUUUAGGUGGCGCGAUGUGUUUGAACUGUAGCUCCCCUGUCUCGUCUCAUCCAACAUGGCGUCGUCCGGGCCGGCUUCUCCAGCUCUCUCAUCACUGGGCGGGUCCACGGUUGGUCGGGCUGCCAGCCGUUGGGCACUUCCGGCAGGCUCGGGUUUCCUCCGACUCGGCAUUUAAAUGGAACUGCAGGACAUCAGCUGCUGCUACUUUCAGCUCGUGCUGUUAUAGAAAAUAACCGGUAGUGCUAGCAAGACAGUCUGCUCUUAUUUCUAACUCGAAAACGACAAAAAAAAUCUUUGUCCCUGAAGAUUGUUUGCUCUGGUUGUUGUGUUGUUUUUUUGUUUUUGAGCAGAAGAGCGGGAGCGGCGGAACAAUAACGGGGCUCUCCUGACAGCCUGUCGGUGCAUCGUUUUUGGGAUUCCUUUGCUAGCCCUCGGACGAAAUUGAAUAGCGGUAAUGUGAUGUUGAGU
ensembl:lncRNA